CAGCCGCCGCGGUAAUACGAGGGGGGCAAGCGUUGUUCGGAAUUAUUGGGCGUAAAGGGUGCGUAGGCGGCUUGACAAGUCUUGUGUGAAAUCUAUGGGCUCAACCCAUAGUCUGCACGGGAAACUGUCGGGCUUGAGAAUGGGAGAGGUGAGUGGAAUUUCCGGUGUAGCGGUGAAAUGCGUAGAUAUCGGAAGGAACACCUGUGGCGAAAGCGGCUCACUGGACCAUUUCUGACGCUGAUGCACGAAAGCUAGGGGAGCAAACAGGAUUAGAUACCCGCGUAGUCCCUGUCUCUUAUAC
rnacentral:rRNA from 1 species